UACCUUGCCUUGUUGAUUUGUGUUUUCAUGUUUAAAAACAACAGUAGGCUUGGGAGUAGAUUUUGUUUUUACUGUGUACGUUUUGAAUCCACUUUUAUCAGGUGUACCAACAUCCCUGGGAACGUUGGUUCAAGAGUCGCUGCCUUUGAAAAUCAAAUGUGACAUCAAGAAUUCACCUUAUAGUUCAGCUCUGACUCGUUUCAUCAACCUGAACUUCCACCUUUACCUGUUUUGCUCCUGGUCCUCCCUGCAGGAGGCCUCUUGACCUUUCCUCUUACUGGCUGUCGAGUUGUCUCCAGACUUUCAUCUCUUCGUGUCUCAGCAGGAUGGAUGAAUAGAUAUUAGAGCGAGCUGACAGCGGAGAGCAGAACCUUGCUGGACAAACUCGUCAUCUUAGAUUCCUCUUAACAACUUUUUCUCAUGCCUCUAUUCUCCUAUGUCACCGCUGUCAUCCUUGAAUUUCCCCUGACCUCUCAUACACUCCCUUCCUCUCCCCGAUGUCUCUGUCUCACCCGUGCGUCCCCCAUCUUCUCCACUUGUAUCAGUGUCUCCACAGCUUGGCUGCAGGCAGUGCUCAGGGUUUUGGACGCAGCCCACAGCUUGAGGAGUCACUGGGUCCUAAGUAGAGCUAAGCCCAGCUUCUCUUCUGGUCUGGGGAAGGUUUACCAAAAGUAUCAGCUGAUUAUCGGUGAAGCCAAGGGCUUGGCCUAGGACACGUGCAGAGGCCCAGGGAUGAUGGAGCUGGCUGAAAUCUGAUCUGGGUCGAUUUUAGAGUCAAGCUGGAAUAAAGUGUUGGAUCCAAAGUAUACAGUGACUUAGCUUCGAUCACUGUGGAGUUCACCAGCCAGUGUCAGGUCAAGUAUCUGAGAAGAAUAUGUUAAGACACAAGCAAACAUUGUUGCUUUAGAUCAAAAAUGAAUCAAAUAGAGUUAGGAGAGGCUUAGUGUUUCUGAGGAAUCCUGCUCAGUUUUAAAUCUGAACUUUUACUGCAAAAUCGUUCCCAUGAAUCAUACUUUUAUUAAGAUGUAACAAAACAUUAAUAUAAAAAUGGGAAAACAAUCACACUUUAUAAAUGAUUGCUAUGUUAAUAUUUAAUGAACUGCAAUUCAAUUAUAAGAAUACAUAAAAAAUAUGAAAUUAGUAACUUAAGAUUUCAAAUUACUACAAAAACAACAUCAAUUUGAAAAUGAAAUCAGUUCAAUGAUGAACUGAAGGAGCUUUUAAUUAUAGUUUCGAAAAAGUUGGGAUGGAUACACAUGGAUACACAGAAUUUUAAUAAUGUCAGUCUUAUUUAUGAGAAAUUUUCUUUCCUUUUCCUGCUUCUGUUUUUUUUCCUGUCAAGUAUCAAACUUUCUAUGAAAUGUUGACUAUUACUAUGACCAGGUCCAUUAGACCGAGAUUAAUGAGUAACUUUGUGAUUGCACAGGUCUAAAGAGAAUUUCUUUGGUUGGAUCUGUACAGUGAGGUGAAUAUUAUUUUGUAUAUGAAAUGAGACAAAAGUCAUUUUGGAGUGAACUCAGUCCUAUGCAGAACUCUCUAUCAGCUCUGUGCACUAAAUGUUUUUCUCUACACAAAUUGGUGGUCAGUUGUUUUCCAAUUUCUGCAGGAAAAAGUAAAAACUAAACUUUUGCUCAGUAUCUCAGUAUAAAAUGUCCAGUUCCAGUAAACUUUUUAUGUCGCCUCUGCCCCAUGGUUCACAAUACAUAUAUAUACAGUAUAUGUUCAAAUAAUAACACUCAAUGUGAUUUUUUAAAAAACCUUAAACUUUUUAGUUUUGUAAUAAAACUAUAAUAUCUACUAUAGAGUGUGACAUAAGCAGCAGAGUAGUACAGAACAACACAGAAGUGCAACAGACAAGGUCACAUCACUGGACGUGUGCCUCGGAUUGAUUAACAGACACAACAGCACAUCUGAGCAGCCCUAACACACUCACAGACUGUGGUCUAUCUGCAUAAAUAAGGAGUGACAGGAGAAACAGUGUUUGGUACUUAGCAGACAGGUGUAUGUGUCAGGAGCUCUAGGUUAAAACAGCAGGUCUGACAGACACGCUGGAAACCACACGGACUGAUCCUGGGACAGGUGGAUGUUCCUACAGUACACGGUGAUAAAAGUGCAGAUAGACAAGCACGGGGGGAACAGGCCGCCGUGACAGUACCAGGGUGAGUAUGCAGAGCACGCGUGCGCUUAAGAAGUAAAUGACAUAUACUGUCAUUUGGAUGGGGCUUUGCAGAGUUGGAGGCAAUUAGAGCGGUUAGCCAGGCAUGAAGAGGUAACAUUUAGAUAGUUAUGUGUCAGGGAAAAAAGCAUUUUGUUACCCUAGAUAAGAAAGUGUGGAAAAGAAACCUCUGAGUUUUCAAAUUAUUCCUACAUAUGCAAGAAUGUCAAUGCCAUCAAGUUUCCAUGUGGAAUCAAACCUGCAGUCAUAGUAAGACCUGCUAUGGUGAAUGAUUUGAAGAUAUGGUUUUAAAGACAGGGGAGACAGCUAGUCGCAAAUAUCAGCUUGAAGGUCAGGUCUGAAAUUGUAAGAAGAAGAGUCCUGCAAACCAGAUCUUCUGGCAGCUGUUAAUCAUGGAGUCUUUGUAGGUUCUCAGUCAUCAAGGUAAUUUGAUCCUACAAAGUUUAGAAGUAGAUUACUGGACUGACUCUGUUUCUUGAAGAUGUUUCACAUUUGAUCUAAGAAACGUUGUCAGUUCUAACUGCCUGCUGGGAAAUGUUGGUGUAUAGUUCUUUAUGUGCACUCACACUGGGGUCACUUUGCCCCCUAAUGUAUAGAUUGUAUCAACGCCUCGACCCACUGAUGGGAUGUUGGGCUCAGCUUGGUCAAGGUGUGAAGGAGGUUGUGGGAGUCAUGUGUGUUGGUCACAGCUGAGACACAGAGUCUGUCUGUGUUUUUGUUUAUGAGGGUGGAGUUUUUGUCUAUUUAGACAUUCAGCCACUUUGAGGUUUUACACCAUGAUUUUCCAAAAGUCUGUUGGGACUGGAGAGGCCUCUUAGUUCAGAGAUGAAACAAGAAACAAAGUAAGCCCUGUUGAAAUUGUUUCCCCAAAAACAGGUUAAUGCAUAAUCUUUGUCAUCCUUGAAAUUCUUGAGUUCCAUGUUCCAUGUUCCAGCUCUUCAGAUCCCAGCACUAGAACUGAAACCAUGUUCAAUCAUUACAAUUGUGAACUCUCAGGCAGAGAAAGCUGCUGUAAAGAAGCAGAGUCUCAGUUGAGAGGUUAAAAAAAACAUAAUUUGACCAUUCACAUACAGUUACAUACUUCUAAUCCUUUAGGAAAAGAAGAAGAUAUGGAUGACGGACAACACUUUGGUUGCCGUCACUGUUCUGUGUUUCAGAUCUGGCUUCUCAUCUGAGCAGAAAGGUCCAACUGUUGCUGUUUGACUCUGAAAUCGCGUAGUCCUGCCUGAGGUAAUGACUGUAGUUUCUGAUUCUUCCUGUCUUUUUAUCUGAAACAAGCAUGGCCAGAGGCAGUGUCUGUUCUGGUUGUGUCUGUCCAUUUAUCCCUGUUCCUGUGAGCGCUUUAUUUUCAGAAAUUCUACAGGGAAUUACCUUCAUAUCCGACACACUUGGACUACAUGAUGAAAUAAUCAAAAUACAGUCCUCAGUGGUCAAGGUCAGUGAAAGAAACUUUGAUUGUCGCUCCACUCAUCACUUUGAUUAUGGCACAAUCAUCUGAUAAAGAAGUAUCAGAGUUGAUUUUCCAAGGUUUUGUGGGUUUCCAUUGCUGUGAUUUAACAACCUGUACAUUUUUUUUUCUGUAAUCUGCAUGACGUUCAGUCACAUAAACAAUUUUGCGAUUUGGAUCAAAUUAUAGGAGAAAAGAAAAAAAUGUGCAGGGUUUUAACAACUUGUACAAAAGGGAGAAGCUGCUGAACAGUCUUAGGUCACGGUUGUCGUCACUUGCUCUUCAUGACACACCAAACAUGUUUAAUAGGAGACAGAGCUUGACUGCAGGAAGACCAGUCAACGUCUCUGGAAGAAUCAUUGUAGUGAUAAUUGCGCCUCGAAUUUUCACUUUUAAAAACUACCAUGGCAAAGUUCUUCUUUUUGUUUAAUUGAUUUUAAUUGGUGUUUUACUAUGUCCUACUUAAUUUUGCCGUAUUUUGCUUACACUGCAAUGACAUAGGUAGUUAUUGUGUUUUAUUUUGAAGGUCUGCGGAUGUACUGAUAGGGUUUAAGGUUUUAGGUUGAACUUGAUUGAUCCCACAUUGGGGGAAUUAUUGAAACAACGUGUCGUUUCCGGUCUGGUGCAAUCUGAUCUGUCUGACUUGCUACGUGUACAGUGCUCUGUAAUACAUCGAGCCGCAAUUAGGACGCAGCCGGUGGAGUAUCGCCCAUUAAUUAUAAUGGUAGCUUAAUGCAACGGUUACCGCGAUGCAGCUGUAUCGCACCACUGACGCAAAUAAUGGGGGUGUAUGCCGGCCCUUCCAGGGGAACUGUAUUGGUGUGACCCCCAGUGGAAGUGAGUUUGACACCACGUGCCAAUCCAGCGACCUGGUAGAUCUGUCACGAGCUUCCACCACAACCAGCUGGGCGUCUGUUGCAGUGGCCGUAGUCAGACAACAGCAGUUCAGAUAUUGUUCAUGGACGGUGACCGAACCCUCAAACCCCAAGCACCAUAUAAAGGGGACCUUUGAAAACAACGGAGGACGGAGGGAGGACCUAACGUAUGGUGAAGGAGUGGGCCUCCCUAAGGAGCUGUUCCGGAAACCAGGAGGCCUCAGAGGAUCCUUAGAUGAUUAUCCAUGGUGGUCCACGUCUACAAAAUCAUCCGUAAAUGAAGAUGCUGAUGUACAUCGAACAAGAGAGAAACACAGG